rnacentral:rRNA from 1 species
GACGAACGCUGGCGGCGUGCUUAACACAUGCAAGUCGAACGGAAAGGCCCUGCUUUUGUGGGGUGCUCGAGUGGCGAACGGGUGAGUAACACGUGAGUAACCUGCCCUUGACUUUGGGAUAACUUCAGGAAACUGGGGCUAAUACCGGAUAGGAGCUCCUGCUGCAUGGUGGGGGUUGGAAAGUUUCGGCGGUUGGGGAUGGACUCGCGGGUUAUCAGCUUGUUGGUGGGGUAGUGGGUUACCAAGUCUUCGACGGGUAGCCGGCCUGCGAGGGUGACCGGCCACAAUGGGACUGCGAUACGGCCCAGAAUCCUACGGGAGGCAGUAGGGGGGAAUAUUGCACAAUGGGCGGAAGCCUGAUGCAGCAACGCCGCGUGCGGGAUGACGGCCUUCGGGGUGUAAACCGCUUUCGCCUGUGACGAAGCGUGAGUGACGGUAAUGGGUAAAGAAGCACCGGCUAACUACGUG